rnacentral:rRNA from 1 species
GACGAACGCUGGCGGCGUGCUUAACACAUGCAAGUCGAACGGAAAGGCCCUGCUUUUGUGGGGUGAUCGAGUGGCGAACGGGUGAGUAACACGUGAGUAACCUGCCCUUGACUUUGGGAUAACUUAAGGAAACUGGGGCUAAUACCGGAUAGGAUCUCCUGCUGCAUGGUGGGGGUUGGAAAGUUUCGGCGGUUGGGGAUGGACUCGCGGAUUAUCAGCUUGUUGGUGGGGUAGUGGCUUACCAAGGCUUUGACGGGUAGCCGGCCUGAGAGGGUGACCGGCCACAUUGGGACUGAGAUACGGCCCAGACUCCUACGGGAGGCAGCAGUGGGGAAUAUUGCACAAUGGGCGGAAGCCUGAUGCAGCAACGCCGCGUGCGGGAUGCCGGCCUUCGGGUUGUAAACCGCUUUCGCCUGUGACGAAGCGUGAGUGACGGUAAUGGGUAAAGAAGCACCGGCUAACUACGUG